rnacentral:rRNA from 1 species
UACGAAGGGGGCUAGCGUUGCUCGGAAUGACUGGGCGUAAAGGGCGCGUAGGCGGCUGUGACAGUCAGAUGUGAAAUUCCUGGGCUCAACCUGGGGGCUGCAUUUGAUACGUGAUGGCUGGAGUGGGGAAGAGGGUCGUGGAAUUCCAGGUGUAGUGGUGAAAUACGUAGAUAUCUGGAGGAACACCGGUGGCGAAGGCGGCUACCUGGCCCAACAUUGACACUGAGACCCGAAAGCGUGGGGAUCAA